rnacentral:lncRNA from 1 species
GUGGACUGUCAGCUGUCUUCUCUGUGGGAUCCAUGGGAUAGUCCCAUGAUCCUAGUAGAGGGCAGACAUUAACCAGCAGGAAGAAAUCUCAAGCACAGCUGCACAAAUAAACCAUGAAAUCCCUAAAAAUUCAAAAGAUUCUGCAGGAUUCCUAAAAUCUUCCUACACAUUGUAAAGAUCCCCUGCAAAGCCCACGAUGAAGGGAGGCAGUGACGUUAAGAGACCAGGCGUCAUUUGCUGACAAUCACCUCUGUCAUCUCAGUUCCAGCCAAG